AGUGAACGCUGGCGGUAGGCCUAACACAUGCAAGUCGAACGGCAGCACAGUAAGAGCUUGCUCUUACGGGUGGCGAGUGGCGGACGGGUGAGGAAUACAUCGGAAUCUACUUUUUCGUGGGGGAUAACGUAGGGAAACUUACGCUAAUACCGCAUACGACCUACGGGUGAAAGCAGGGGAUCUUCGGACCUUGCGCGAUUGAAUGAGCCGAUGUCGGAUUGGUAGUUGGGGGGGUAAAGGGCCCCCGAGGCGACGAUCCGUAGCUGGUCUGAGAGGAUGAUCAGCCACACUGGAACUGAGACACGGUCCAGACUCCUACGGGAGGCAGCAGUGGGGAAUAUUGGACAAUGGGCGCAAGCCUGAUCCAGCCAUACCGCGUGGGUGAAGAAGGCCUUCGGGUUGUAAAGCCCUUUUGUUGGGAAAGAAAAGCAGCAGGUUAAUACCCCGCUGUUCUGACGGUACCCAAAGAAUAAGCACCGGCUAACUUCGUG
rnacentral:rRNA from 1 species